rnacentral:ribozyme from 13 species
AGAAAAGAGAGAGAAAGAGGGACUCGAACAACAACACAAAAAUCAGUCAUUCUUUGUACAGCGUCUCGAAAGAGUUCUUCCAUUAUUUCACCCAUCUUUUCUUUCUUUCUUUCUUUCUUUUUCCUCU